UGGGGAAUAUUGCACAAUGGGCGAAAGCCUGAUGCAGCAACGCCGCGUGAGUGAUGAAGGUCUUCGGAUUGUAAAGCUCUGUCUUUUGGGACGAUAAUGACGGUACCAAAGGAGGAAGCCACGGCUAACUACGUGCCAGCAGCCGCGGUAAUACGUAGGUGGCGAGCGUUGUCCGGAUUUACUGGGCGUAAAGGGUGCGUAGGCGGAUGUUUAAGUGAGAUGUGAAAUACCCGGGCUUAACUUGGGUGCUGCAUUUCAAACUGGAUAUCUAGAGUGCAGGAGAGGAGAAUGGAAUUCCUAGUGUAGCGGUGAAAUGCGUAGAGAUUAGGAAGAACACCAGUGGCGAAGGCGAUUCUCUGGACUGUAACUGACGCUGAGGCACGAAAGCGUGGGUAGCAAACAGGAUUAGAUACCCUGGUAGUCCACGCCGUAAACGAUGAGUACUAGGUGUAGGAGGUAUCGACCCCUUCUGUGCCGCAGUAAACACAUUAAGUANUCCGCCUGGGAAGUA
rnacentral:rRNA from 1 species